UGAUGACCUUCUCUGCAGCCCAGUCCCCCUCCUGAGACACAGAAAGCACGUUAGCAUAAACAUGCUAACACACUAACAGCUAGCAUGCUAACAUCAUCUGUCUGAGGUGGUGGUUCCAACAGCUGGUGCCGGAGCUUGGCUAACCUUAGUUUAGGUCUCUGCUUUAAAGCGAGACGUUUUCAGAAUGAAACCAGAGCACAUAGACCAGCUGAUCGCUCUUUAACAGAACCACACACUCACUGCUGUUUUGUAGAAUCUGAAGACAGUUGAAUUCAGAGCACAGCCCACGUAGCCCUCAGCGGCACUCGGGUCAUGGAGGAACCGGACCUCCAGGGGAAUGGCGCCCUCUUCUCCUAGAUCAAGCCUCUGCAGCUUCUUGUGGGUGGUCCAGUCCCAGAUAUUCAGGGCGCUGCCAUAGA